rnacentral:rRNA from 1 species
UAAGCAUGGUAACAUGUUCAGCUGACCGAUACUAAUAGAUCGAGGGCUUGACCAAA